GGUUAAGCGACUAAGCGUACACGGUGGAUGCCCUGGCAGUCAGAGGCGAUGAAGGACGUGCUAAUCUGCGAUAAGCGUCGGUGAGGUGAUAUGAACCGUUAUAACCGGCGAUUUCCGAAUGGGGAAACCCAGUGUGUUUCGACACACUAUCAUUAACUGAAUCCAUAGGUUAAUGAGGCGAACCGGGGGAACUGAAACAUCUAAGUACCCCGAGGAAAAGAAAUCAACCGAGAUUCCCCCAGUAGCGGCGAGCGAACGGGGAGGAGCCCAGAGCCUGAAUCAGUGUGUGUGUUAGUGGAAGCGUCUGGAAAGGCGCGCGAUACAGGGUGACAGCCCCGUACACAAAAAUGCACAUGCUGUGAGCUCGAUGAGUAGGGCGGGACACGUGGUAUCCUGUCUGAAUAUGGGGGGACCAUCCUCCAAGGCUAAAUACUCCUGACUGACCGAUAGUGAACCAGUACCGUGAGGGAAAGGCGAAAAGAACCCCGGCGAGGGGAGUGAAAAAGAACCUGAAACCGUGUACGUACAAGCAGUGGGAGCCUCUUUAUGGGGUGACUGCGUACCUUUUGUAUAAUGGGUCAGCGACUUAUAUUCUGUAGCAAGGUUAACCGAAUAGGGGAGCCGAAGGGAAACCGAGUCUUAACUGGGCGUUAAGUUGCAGGGUAUAGACCCGAAACCCGGUGAUCUAGCCAUGGGCAGGUUGAAGGUUGGGUAACACUAACUGGAGGACCGAACCGACUAAUGUUGAAAAAUUAGCGGAUGACUUGUGGCUGGGGGUGAAAGGCCAAUCAAACCGGGAGAUAGCUGGUUCUCCCCGAAAGCUAUUUAGGUAGCGCCUCGUGAAUUCAUCUCCGGGGGUAGAGCACUGUUUCGGCAAGGGGGUCAUCCCGACUUACCAACCCGAUGCAAACUGCGAAUACCGGAGAAUGUUAUCACGGGAGACACACGGCGGGUGCUAACGUCCGUCGUGAAGAGGGAAACAACCCAGACCGCCAGCUAAGGUCCCAAAGUCAUGGUUAAGUGGGAAACGAUGUGGGAAGGCCCAGACAGCCAGGAUGUUGGCUUAGAAGCAGCCAUCAUUUAAAGAAAGCGUAAUAGCUCACUGGUCGAGUCGGCCUGCGCGGAAGAUGUAACGGGGCUAAACCAUGCACCGAAGCUGCGGCAGCGACACUAUGUGUUGUUGGGUAGGGGAGCGUUCUGUAAGCCUGUGAAGGUGGCCUGUGAGGGUUGCUGGAGGUAUCAGAAGUGCGAAUGCUGACAUAAGUAACGAUAAAGCGGGUGAAAAGCCCGCUCGCCGGAAGACCAAGGGUUCCUGUCCAACGUUAAUCGGGGCAGGGUGAGUCGACCCCUAAGGCGAGGCCGAAAGGCGUAGUCGAUGGGAAACAGGUUAAUAUUCCUGUACUUGGUGUUACUGCGAAGGGGGGACGGAGAAGGCUAUGUUGGCCGGGCGACGGUUGUCCCGGUUUAAGCGUGUAGGCUGAUUUUCCAGGCAAAUCCGGAAAAUCAAGGCUGAGGCGUGAUGACGAGGCACUACGGUGCUGAAGCAACAAAUGCCCUGCUUCCAGGAAAAGCCUCUAAGCAUCAGGUAACAUCAAAUCGUACCCCAAACCGACACAGGUGGUCAGGUAGAGAAUACCAAGGCGCUUGAGAGAACUCGGGUGAAGGAACUAGGCAAAAUGGUGCCGUAACUUCGGGAGAAGGCACGCUGAUAUGUAGGUGAAGCGACUUGCUCGUGGAGCUGAAAUCAGUCGAAGAUACCAGCUGGCUGCAACUGUUUAUUAAAAACACAGCACUGUGCAAACACGAAAGUGGACGUAUACGGUGUGACGCCUGCCCGGUGCCGGAAGGUUAAUUGAUGGGGUUAGCGGCAACGCGAAGCUCUUGAUCGAAGCCCCGGUAAACGGCGGCCGUAACUAUAACGGUCCUAAGGUAGCGAAAUUCCUUGUCGGGUAAGUUCCGACCUGCACGAAUGGCGUAAUGAUGGCCAGGCUGUCUCCACCCGAGACUCAGUGAAAUUGAACUCGCUGUGAAGAUGCAGUGUACCCGCGGCAAGACGGAAAGACCCCGUGAACCUUUACUAUAGCUUGACACUGAACAUUGAGCCUUGAUGUGUAGGAUAGGUGGGAGGCUUUGAAGUGUGGACGCCAGUCUGCAUGGAGCCGACCUUGAAAUACCACCCUUUAAUGUUUGAUGUUCUAACGUUGGCCCGUAAUCCGGGUUGCGGACAGUGUCUGGUGGGUAGUUUGACUGGGGCGGUCUCCUCCUAAAGAGUAACGGAGGAGCACGAAGGUUGGCUAAUCCUGGUCGGACAUCAGGAGGUUAGUGCAAUGGCAUAAGCCAGCUUGACUGCGAGCGUGACGGCGCGAGCAGGUGCGAAAGCAGGUCAUAGUGAUCCGGUGGUUCUGAAUGGAAGGGCCAUCGCUCAACGGAUAAAAGGUACUCCGGGGAUAACAGGCUGAUACCGCCCAAGAGUUCAUAUCGACGGCGGUGUUUGGCACCUCGAUGUCGGCUCAUCACAUCCUGGGGCUGAAGUAGGUCCCAAGGGUAUGGCUGUUCGCCAUUUAAAGUGGUACGCGAGCUGGGUUUAGAACGUCGUGAGACAGUUCGGUCCCUAUCUGCCGUGGGCGCUGGAGAACUGAGGGGGGCUGCUCCUAGUACGAGAGGACCGGAGUGGACGCAUCACUGGUGUUCGGGUUGUCAUGCCAAUGGCACUGCCCGGUAGCUAAAUGCGGAAGAGAUAAGUGCUGAAAGCAUCUAAGCACGAAACUUGCCCCGAGAUGAGUUCUCCCUGACUCCUUGAGAGUCCUGAAGGAACGUUGAAGACGACGACGUUGAUAGGCCGGGUGUGUAAGCGCAGCGAUGCGUUGAGCUAACCGGUACUAAUGAACCGUGAGGCUUAACCUU
rnacentral:rRNA from 1 species